UACGGAGGAGGCAAGCGUUAUCCGGAAUUAUUGGGCGUAAAGCGUCCGUAGGUGGCUCUUCAAGUCUGCUGUCAAAGAGUGGGGCUUAACCCUGCAAAGGCAGUGGAAACUGAAAGGCUAGAGAGCCGUAGGGGUAGAGGGAAUUCUCGGUGUAGCGGUGAAAUGCGUAGAUAUCGAGAGGAACACCUGCGGCGAAGGCGGGUUGCUGGGCUGACACUGACGCUGAUGUGCGAAAGCUAGGGGAGCGAAUGGG
rnacentral:rRNA from 1 species